rnacentral:rRNA from 1 species
CGUAGUCGAUGGGAAACAGGUUAAUAUUCCUGUACUUGGUGUUACUGCGAAGGGGGGACGGAGAAGGCUAUGUUGGCCGGGCGACGGUUGUCCCGGUUUAAGCGUGUAGGCUGGUUUUCCAGGCAAAUCCGGAAAACCAAGGCUGAGGCGUGAUGACGAGGCACUACGGUGCUGAAGCGACAAAUGCCCUGCUUCCAGGAAAAGCCUCUAAGCAUCAGGUAACAUCAAAUCGUACCCCAAACCGACACAGGUGGUCAGGUAGAGAAUACCAAGGCGCUUGAGAGAACUCGGGUGAAGGAACUAGGCAAAAUGGUGCCGUAACUUCGGGAGAAGGCACGCUGAUAUGUAGGUGAAGCGACUUGCUCGUGGAGCUGAAAUCAGUCGAAGAUACCAGCUGGCUGCAACUGUUUAUUAAAAACACAGCACUGUGCAAACACGAAAGUGGACGUAUACGGUGUGACGCCUGCCCGGUGCCGGAAGGUUAAUUGAUGGGGUUAGCGGCAACGCGAAGCUCUUGAUCGAAGCCCCGGUAAACGGCGGCCGUAACUAUAACGGUCCUAAGGUAGCGAAAUUCCUUGUCGGGUAAGUUCCGACCUGCACGAAUGGCGUAAUGAUGGCCAGGCUGUCUCCACCCGAGACUCAGUGAAAUUGAACUCGCUGUGAAGAUGCAGUGUACCCGCGGCAAGACGGAAAGACCCCGUGAACCUUUACUAUAGCUUGACACUGAACAUUGAGCCUUGAUGUGUAGGAUAGGUGGGAGGCUUUGAAGUGUGGACGCCAGUCUGCAUGGAGCCGACCUUGAAAUACCACCCUUUAAUGUUUGAUGUUCUAACGUUGGCCCCUAAUCGGGGUUGCGGACAGUGUCUGGUGGGUAGUUUGACUGGGGCGGUCUCCUCCUAAAGAGUAACGGAGGAGCACGAAGGUUGGCUAAUCCUGGUCGGACAUCAGGAGGUUAGUGCAAUGGCAUAAGCCAGCUUGACUGCGAGCGUGACGGCGCGAGCAGGUGCGAAAGCAGGUCAUAGUGAUCCGGUGGUUCUGAAUGGAAGGGCCAUCGCUCAACGGAUAAAAGGUACUCCGGGGAUAACAGGCUGAUACCGCCCAAGAGUUCAUAUCGACGGCGGUGUUUGGCACCUCGAUGUCGGCUCAUCACAUCCUGGGGCUGAAGUAGGUCCCAAGGGUAUGGCUGUUCGCCAUUUAAAGUGGUACGCGAGCUGGGUUUAGAACGUCGUGAGACAGUUCGGUCCCUAUCUGCCGUGGGCGCUGGAGAACUGAGGGGGGCUGCUCCUAGUACGAGAGGACCGGAGUGGACGCAUCACUGGUGUUCGGGUUGUCAUGCCAAUGGCACUGCCCGGUAGCUAAAUGCGGAAGAGAUAAGUGCUGAAAGCAUCUAAGCACGAAACUUGCCCCGAGAUGAGUUCUCCCUGAGACUUAGAGUCUCCUGAAGGAACGUUGAAGACGACGACG